rnacentral:rRNA from 1 species
UACAGAGGGUGCGAGCGUUGUUCGGAAUUAUUGGGCGUAAAGGGCGCGUAGGCGGCGCCACAAGUCACUUGUGAAAACUCUGGGCUCAACUCAGAGCCUGCAAGCGAAACUGUGGUGCUGGAGUAUGGGAGAGGUGCGUGGAAUUCCCCGGUGUAGCGGUGAAAUGCGUAGAUAUCGGGAGGAACACCUGUGGCGAAAGCGGCGCACUGGACCAUAACUGACGCUGAGGCGCGAAAAGCUAGGGGGAGCAAAACAGG